rnacentral:lncRNA from 1 species
UAUCUCUCUCUUCUCUCAACUGGGUCCAGGAUCUUUUCAAUUCCUCAGCAUCAGUAGGCAUAUCUGGGUAAGAAAUGAUCUGGGAAGUACCUCCUUCGACCUCCGAUUCAACAAUCAAUGGUCCGACUGCAAGAUAUGGCAUGACAAGUUCACGAGCUCUGGCGCGGACCCAUCUGAGAUAAGGCUCCAUAGGAAUAGAAUUUUUCUUGCCUAAAUUGCUUCUUUU